UACAACAACCGGAUCGCGAGGGGAUCUGGUCAAGCCUUCAGUCCAACGCCCAUCUCUACGCCGCCAUCGUCUCCAUCUCGCAACGGCCGGCGGUCCACCUCCACUCCACCACAGCCGGCCGACCAGCUCCCUCACCCUCAUCCCCUUAUCCCUCACGCAUACGGACGCCCGAAGGCAAGCUUCUCAUCCUGACGCACAGAACACCCCGACGAAGCCGCCGUACUUCCGUCUCCUCCAUCCGCCAGCCGGAGUUCUCCCUCUCCUCUCCACCUCUUCUUUUCGGGUUAUCAGGGAAGAGAGCCAAGGGUCUCCUCUUCGGGUUAGAAAAGGAGCUUCUUCCAUUCUUCGGCCAUCCUCCUCUUCCGGUUACAAGAGGAGAGUCCACCCCUUUGCUUCCGGCAGCCCGGUCUUCCACAUCCACUCCUCCACACUUCAGGCAGAUUUGUCUUCGGUAGCUGCCUCCACCGGGCAGCAGCUCCUUUUGAUGUGUUGGUUGGAAUUCUUAUGUUUUGGGUUCUCUUCAUGUGUUGUUUGUCUUUGUUGAUUUAUGAAUUGUAAUGGAAUUAGCCCCUCAUAUUUCAAAUCACAUGCACUUAGGCUGUCUUGCUUCAUGCUCAUUACAUGUUCGAUGAAAUUCCCCAACCAUUUAUGUCAUUGUUGCCUUUGAGUUCGUUAAAUUCAUGCAAUGCUUAAUUAGUUGAAUGUUUACGUUUUCUCAUAGUUAUGCCUUUCAUUUUAAUGCAAUUAGGUAGAUGAGAUUAGGUUUCAUUAAUGCUCCAUUUCAUUAAAUGCUUACUUUAUGUUGUCGUUCAUUUUCUUGCAAUCGUAGUUUAGGUUAGAUUAGAUUUCCUUUAAUUGCAUUGUCUUUCAUUUAUUAUGGUUAGAUUUAUUACUUUCAUUGCUAUUUCAUUUCGUAGUCUUAGUGCUCUGACCCAAACCCCCAUUUUCAUAUAAAAAAACCCUAAGCAAUAAUAUUGGAUCCUAAGCUUAUCACUUUACCGUUACAUUCCUUGUGAGAGACGACUUGAGUCAUCUCUAUUCUAUAUUAGCGUAGAAGGGAUUCAAUACUUAAUUAUGUUUGAUACUUGCGGUACGACACACGAGCUUAUCAAAUGCUCUGGUGACAUAGCUAAUCCUGCAUAGCAAUCUGUUGGACAUGUGGUAUGCUAGUAAAUUGUAUACAUGGAUUAAGAAGUAGAAGGUGUUACAUGAAUUCAAGUUCUUAUUGUCAGUGCCCAAAUUUAUUAGCUCAAAUGAAACCAUUUUUAUCUCUAUUAACCCCUUAUUCAAAACUGUUUCAGAUUUUAUGUUUUCUAUUUAGAUUGAGCUUACCCCCUAUAGUUGGGGUAUUACAGCUUCUUGUUCUUCUAUGUAGAUUGAGCUAACUGCCUGAGAAGAGGUUGCACUUGAACUUCGUGCAAGCCAUGUUAUACCAAAUUUCCAUUGUAUAUGAUUGUUGUUUGCUUGGAGAAACAUGCUAAUACCAUCUUAUUAUUGUUAUGGAGUCCCUGUUGAUCUGAGUCAUGGCUUUAGCGUGGACUUUGUCCGGAAAAUUACUAACUUUGACCAAAUGCAAGGUGCUAUGAAGACUUUUGCAGUGGAUGUAACGACUGUUUGUGGAUACAUAUAUCAUCACCUUUUGGGCCAUGAAGUUGAACAAUCAAAAGUUUGAAAUACUCUACCUCGCAGUUUUGGUGCUCCUAGGCUUCCUGAACUAAAUACACCCCAGGGCCCACCUGGUACAGGAAAGACGGUCACAUCUGCUGCAAUUGUAUAUCACAUGUCUAAACAAGGACAAGGAUAAGGACAGGUCUUAGUAUGUGUUCCAAGCAAUGUUGCUGUUGACUAACUGGUGGAUAAGUUCCACAGGUUUGAAGAUCGUCAGACCCUGUGCUAAAUCAAGACAAGCCGUUAUGUCUCCUGUUGAGCAUCUAACACUUCAUUUCCAGGUCCAUCAUCCUGAACCAUCUGAAAAAAGUGAACUUCAUAAGCUGCAGCUGUUAAAAGAUGAACAAGCUUCUAUGAAGGCACACUUCCAAAUGGAGUGACAAUCAAUGAGAGGCAAUCGUCUGGCAUCUAUUUUCCUUGGCUGGUUCCCAACUGUCCUAUGUUCUUCUAUUGCAGGUAUCAUACAUAUGCAACUAGCUAUUUUGAUUCAUCCAUUUACGUAAAAAUUAUAUAUGUAUGUAUAUAUGUGUAUACUAGUCAAUUGAAUAACCUAUUUUUCUAGUUUGGAAACUUAAUCGAUUGUCUGUUAUCUUUAUUUGUGUUCUAAGAUGUUUAUUUAGAUGGGACAAGAAGAAAUUAGUGCAAGUGGCACAUCUUAUCUCAAUAUAACUGAGGCUGCAAAUGUGGAAAAAAUUGUUACUACGUUCCUAAGAAGUGGUGUCAUACCUAGUCAGGUACUCCUAUUCAUAACUUGGAGUUAUCUGCUGACUUUUGGCUGAAUAAUGCAGAUAGGAGUUAUCACUCCAUAUGAAGGGCAACGGGCAUAUAUUGUGAAUUACAUGUCAAAGGAAUGGUGCACUUAGACAACAGCUUUACAAGGAAAUUGAGGCUACAAGUGUCGACUCCUUCCAAGGCAGAGAGAUUGAUUACAUUAUUCUAUCUUGCGUGAGAAGCAAUGAGCAUCAGGUAAUACUCGCCAAUCAAUUUGAAAUAUUAUCAAAUUAAAACUACACGGCGUAAGUCAUUUUAUUUUGAUAAAAUAAUAGGGACUUAUAUUUUCAUUUUUAUUAUUAUUUUAAUAUAAAUAUGUCUAUGGAAAAAAAAUAUGAUUUUGGAUAUAUGAACGUAUAAAAAAAAGAAAAUAGAAGAAUUUAUUCAGUUUCAAAAGGGCGCACUCAAUAGAUUUAUUAUUAAUAAUCAAAAUCAAAACUCAGAAAAUAAUAUAAUUGAAAAUUUAAAUGAAAAACUAAUUGAAUUUUUACUGGAAGAUAAUACUUUAGGACAAAAAGAAAUCUAUCAAGAAUUUUCUAAUGAUCACAAAUCGAAUUCAUCAAAUAUUAAUAUUAAUGAAGAAAAUAAUUAUAAUUCAGAAGAAAAUAAAGAUGACUUAAUAAAUCAUGAAGAUAAGUUUUUAAUAAUAUUGAUGAAACUAUUAUUCAAAAAUAUAUAUGUUCCAAUACAAUAGAAAAAUAUAAAUACAAAUUUAAUAGAUUUAUUAGUUGAAAAAGUCCAAUUAGAGAAAUCAAUAAUUCUUUUUCAAAUGAUGAAAAUUCUAGACAUUUUUUUAUGAUUCAUUACAUUUGAAAAUUACCAAAUGGAGAAAAACAUGAUAGAAAAUAGUUAAUAUAUUCAAAAGAAUUAUAUAAUGUAUUUUGUUUUUGUUGUAAAUUAUUUAGUCAAAAAUUAAUUACAAUUUAAUUAGCAAACUAAAGGUGUCGUGAUUGGAAAAAUCUUAGUGCCAAGCUUAAAAGUUAUGAAACAAGCAGUAACAUAUUAUAAAUAUGAAUAUUUGGUUUGAUAUUGAAAUGAGAUUGCUUAAAAAUAAAACCAUUGAUCAAAAUUUACAAGAAACAAUAAAUAAGGGAAAAGAACAUUGGAAGAAUGUAUUAAUAAUAAUUAUUGCUAUAGUUAAAAAUCUUGCAAAAAAUAAUUUGGCAUUUCAUGGUACAAAUGAGAAAAUUUAUCAAGAAAACAAUGGUAAUUUUUUAGGUUUAAUUGAAAUGAUAGAAUUUGAUCCUGUAAUGCAAGAACACCUUAAACGUAUUCAAAAUGAUAAAAUUUAUAAUCAUUAUCUUGGUCAUAAUAUACAAAAUGAGUUAAUAAAUAUAUUAAAAAAAGAGUAAAUAGUAUUAUAAUUUAAAAAAAUAAAAGAAGCAAAAUACUUUUUAGUUAUACUUGAUUGCACUCCUAAUGUAAGUUAUUAAGAAUAAAUGUCUCUUAUAUUAAGGUGUAGAUAUUUCAAAAAUUCCAAUCAAAAUAAAAUAAUAUUUUAUAGAAUUUUUAAAAGUAGAUGAUAUAUCAGAAAAAAGUCUUUUUGAUACGCUUAUUAAUAUAAUAAAGAAAAUUGAAUUGGAGGUAAAUAACAUUAGAGGACAAGGAUAUGAUAAUGAGGCUAAUAUGAAAGGUAAACAAGGUGUAUAAAAGAGAUUGUUAGAUAUAAAUUCUAGGGCUUUUUAUACAUCAUGUGGUUAUCAUAGUCUUAAUUUAGUACUAUGUGAUAUGACUAAUUCUUGUCCUAGUGCUAUAACAUUUUUUGGUGUGAUACAACGUAUUUACUCAUUAUUUUUUUCUUCUACAAAAAGAUGAAAAAUUUUACAAGAUCAUGUUUCUAAUUUAACUCUUAAACCAUUAUCACAAACACAUUGAGAAAGUCAUCUUGAAAGCGUUAAAGUAAUAAAAUAUCAAGUUCCACAGAUAAAAGAAACUUUAUAUAACUUGUAAAAACUAGUGAUCAUCCUAAAACAAAAAGUGAAGCAAAUUCUUUAGCAACAUAUGAGUUUGAAAAUUUUGAAUUUUUAUUAGUUAUGGUUAUUUGGUAUGAUAUAUUAUUUGCGGUUAAUACUGUUAGGAAAUUUUUAUAAUAUAAAGAUAUGAACAUUGCAAUUGCAUUAGAUAAGUUAAAAGGUGUUUUUUUUAAUGAUUAUAAAGAAAAUGAAUUUAUAUAUGCUGUGAUUUUUGUCAAAGAAAUUGUAAAUGAAAUGAAUAUAGAACCAAAAUUUCAUUAAAAAAUGUGUGAUUAGAAGAAAUAAACGAUUUGAUAAAAAUAAAAUUAAUGAAGUGAAGUUUUUACCUAAUUUUUUUUUUAAAAUUAAUUACU